rnacentral:rRNA from 1 species
GACUCAUCGGUAUGGGAUGGGGUCGCGUCCUAUCAGCUUGAUGGCGGGGUAACGGCCCACCAUGGCUUCGACGGGUAGCCGGCCUGAGAGGGCGACCGGCCACAUUGGGACUGAGAUACGGCCCAGACUCCUACGGGAGGCAGCAGUGGGGAAUAUUGCACAAUGGGCGCAAGCCUGAUGCAGCGACGCCGCGUGCGGGAUGACGGCCUUCGGGUUGUAAACCGCUUUUGACUGGGAGCAAGCCCUUCGGGGUGAGUGUACCUUUCGAAUAAGCACCGGCUAACUACGUGCCAGCAGCCGCGGUAAUACGUAGGGUGCAAGCGUUAUCCGGAAUUAUUGGGCGUAAAGGGCUCGUAGGCGGAUCGUCGCGUCCGGUGUGAAAGUCCAUCGCUUAUCGGUGGAUCCGCGCCGGGUACGGGCGGG